rnacentral:lncRNA from 1 species
AAAGACAUAGAAAUUUUUAGAGCAAAAUGAAGAGAAAGGAAAAGAUGAAGGUAAUGUCGCAGACUCCGGUAAAAUCUUAGUUGUUGUUUUUUUUUUUUGCUAUAUACUGUUUGUGAUCUUCACCAAAAUUUUAAGUUUACUGAGAAUUUGUGAAUGAAAUUUUGGGGAGAAGAGGAGUUGUAGGAAAAAUGGUUUUGUAUCCUAUGAAGUUAAGUGUUUUUCUGAUGGAUUAAAAAGGAGGUACUGAUAUUCGAGAGCCUUACUUGAGAAAUACACAAAAUGUAGCCACAAAAACCCUGAUAUUUCACCGAAAAGCUUCAGAUGCGAGACUUUUUCAGCCAAUAUUCAGAGGAAAAUGCCUCAAAAUCAGGGAUCAAGAACAAAACGCAAGGAACGCCAAGGUUUCGUGGUUUGUAGGCGUAAUGGAGGUUAUACGACCCAAAAAGCUGAAGGCUUUCCUAAAAAAAUUGGGGUUUUCACCAAUACAGGUAAAAUCAACAACAAAUUAUAUCGUUAAAGGCUAGGGUUUUAGCAGGUUCAGAACCAAGGAAAGAAAAAAAUGAUCUUUAAUGGUGAAAUAAAGAAAUGAAGGAUAGGGCUUUCGUUACAAAGUAGGGUUUCUCGCGGAGUUCUGGUUCAGAAUCUGCAGUACAUCACAAAAGUUUAAUGGCAAGGGUUUCUUCUCAUAUUCUGAACCAGCAAAGGAGAGAGGCGUGGCUUACCAUUGAGAGGGGGAAGCCUCGC